UACGUAGGGGGCUAGCGUUGUCCGGAAUCAUUGGGCGUAAAGGGCGCGUAGGCGGCCUUCUAAGUCGAACGUGAAAUCCCCGGGCUCAACCCGGGAACUGCGUCCGAUACUGGAAGGCUUGAAUCCGGGAGAGGGAUGCGGAAUUCCGAGGUGUAGCGGUGAAAUGCGUAGAUAAUCUGGAGGAACACCGGUGGCGAAGGCGGCAUCCUGGACCGGCAUUGACGCGUGGAGGCGCGGAAAGCCAGGGGAGCAAAGCGGGAUUAA
rnacentral:rRNA from 1 species